UACGUAGGGCGCAAGCGUUGUCCGGAAUUAUUGGGCGUAAAGAGCUCGUAGGCGGUUUGUCGCGUUCUGCUGUGAAAACCUAAGGCUCAACCUUGGGCUUGCAGUGGGUACGGGCAGACUAGAGUGCGGUAGGGGUGACUGGAAUUCCUGGUGUAGCGGUGGAAUGCGCAGAUAUCAGGAGGAACACCGAGUGCGAAGGCAGGUCACUGGGCCGCAACUGACGC
rnacentral:rRNA from 1 species